GUAGUCCACGCCGUAAACGAUGUCGACUAGCCGUUGGGUGCCUCGAGCACUUAGUGGCGCAGUUAACGCGAUAAGUCGACCGCCUGGGGAGUACGGCCUCAAGGUUAAAACUCAAAUGAAUUGACGGGGGCCCGCACAAGCGGUGGAGCAUGUGGUUUAAUUCGAUGCAACGCGAAGAACCUUACCUACCCUUGACAUCCUCGGAAUCUGCCGGAGACGGCGGAGUGCCUUCGGGAACCGAGUGACAGGUGCUGCAUGGCUGUCGUCAGCUCGUGUUGUGAAAUGUUGGGUUAAGUCCCGUAACGAGCGCAACCCCUGUCCCUAUUUGCCAGCGAUUCGGUCGGGAACUCUAGGGAGACUGCCGGUGACAAACCGGA
rnacentral:rRNA from 1 species